AUUGAACGCUGGCGGCAUGCCUUACACAUGCAAGUCGAGCGGUAACAGGUGUAGCAAUACAUGCUGACGAGCGGCGAACGGGUGAGUAAUGCUUCGGAAUCUGCCCAGUAGUGGGGGAAUAACCAGUCGAAAGAUUGGCUAAUACCGCAUACGACCUUUGGGUGAAAGCAGGGGAUCGCAAGACCUUGCGCUAUUGGAUGAGCCGAAGUCGGAUUAGCUAGUUGGUAGGGUAACGGGCCUACCAAGGCGACGAUCCGUAGCUGGUCUGAGAGGACGACCAGCCACACUGGGACUGAGACACGGCCCAGACUCCUACGGGAGGCAGCGGUGGGGAAUUUUGGACAAUGGGCGCAAGCCUGAUCCAGCCAUGCCGCGUGAGUGAAGAAGGCCU
rnacentral:rRNA from 1 species